GUGCCAGCAGCCGCGGUACUACGGAGGGUGCGAGCGUUGUUCGGAAUCAUUGGGCGUAAAGCGGGUGUAGGCGGUGGAGUGUGUCUGAUGUGAAAGCCCGUGGCUCAACCCCGGAAGUGCAUUGGAAACUGCUUCACUUGAGUCUCGGAGAGGGCAGUGGAAUUCCUGGUGUAGAGGUGAAAUUCGUAGAUAUCAGGAGGAACACCGGUGGCGAAGGCGACUGCCUGGACGAAGACUGACGCUGAGACCUGAAAGCGUGGGGAGCAAACAGGAUUAGAUACCCUGGUAGUCCACGCCGUAAACGAUGUGCACUAGAUGCUGCGGGAGAGUUGCACCUGCAGUGUCGUAGCUAACGCGUUAAGUGCACCGCCUGGGGAGUACGGCCGCAAGGCUGAAACUUAAAUGAAUUGACGGGG
rnacentral:rRNA from 1 species